rnacentral:rRNA from 1 species
CCUACGGGUGGCAGCAGUGAGGAAUAUUGGUCAAUGAGCGGGAGCCUGAACCAGCCAAGCCGCGUGAGGGAAGAAGGUACAGCGUAUCGUAAACCGCUUUUGUCAGGGAACAAAGGCGGGGACUAGUCCCCGGAUGAGGGUACCUGAAGAAAAAGCAUCGGCGAACUCCGUGCCAGCAGCCGCGGUAAUACGGAGGAUGCGAGCGUUAUCCGGAUUUAUUGGGUUUAAAGGGUGCGCAGGCGGCCGGUGAAGUCAGCGGUAAAAGCCCGGGGCUCAACCCCGGCGAGACGUUGAAACUGGCGGGCUGGAGUUGGAGAGAAGUACGCGGAAUGCGCGGUGUAGCGGUGAAAUGCGUAGAUAUUAGGAGGAACACCAGUGGCGAAGGCGGUCUGCUGGACAGCAACUGACGCUGAGGCGCGAAAGCGUGGGGAGCAAACAGGAUUAGAUACCCCUGUAGUC